rfam:TPA: Bos taurus chromosome 7, whole genome shotgun sequence.
UCCCUGGUGGUUCAGUAGUGGAGAAUCUGCCCUGCAAAGCAGGGCACUCAGGUUCAAUUCCUGCUCAGGGAA